rnacentral:rRNA from 1 species
CCCUUAGAUGUUCUGGGCCGCACGCGUGCUACACUGAGUGGAUCAGCGGGUCAGGUUGCGCGAAAGUGUUUCCUAAUCUUUAAAUCCGCUCGUGAUGGGGAUUGACGGUUGCAAUUUUCCGUCAUGAACGAGGAAUACCUUGUAAGCGCGGGUCAUCAUCCCGCGCUGAAUACGUCCCUGCCCUUUGUACACACCGCCCGUCGCUACUACCGAUUGAAUGGUUUAGUGAGAUCUUCGGAUUGGCGCCAUCGUGGCUUCGCGGCCAUGACGGAUGGCCGAAAAGUUGAUCAAACUUGAUCAUUUAGAGGAAGUAAAAGUCGUAACA